UACGUAGGUGGCAAGCGUUGUCCGGAUUUAUUGGGCGUAAAGAGCGUGUAGGCGGUCAGGUAGGUCUGGUGUGAAAACUCGAGGCUUAACCUCGAGAUGUCAUCGGAAACCAUUUGGCUAGAGUCCGGAAGAGGAGAGUGGAAUUCCUGGUGUAGCGGUGAAAUGCGCAGAUAUCAGGAAGAACACCAAUGGCGAAAGCAGCUCUCUGGGACGGUACUGACGCUGAGACGCGAAAGCGUGGGGAGCGAACAGG
rnacentral:rRNA from 1 species